ACAAUCAAAUAAAUCUGCCUGUAAUGAUGAAUUUCAAAGGCCAAGCCAAAAUCCUUUCAUGAAUUUGAUACUUCUAAAGAAUGUGAUCUCGUCAAAUUAAAUCCUCAUGACAUUGAUAAACAGUUAUUACUGAUCUGUGUUACAAAACAGAUUUUUAUACAUGAUAAAUAAUAUUUUCUGAAGCGUUAUUUUGUGUUGUCAUCGCACAAUUCUUACAAAACAUAGCAAUAAAGGUGGACUGAAGGUCAUCUCUUCAGGAAUGUAUCGAAUAUGUAGGGAAGCUGAACGAGAAUUUCAAAAAUGUAAAGAUGUACUCCUUCGUUUACAAUCAGCCAUCACAAAAGAAUUAGUUGAAAGAAUAAUUGAUAAAUGUACGCAUGUGGCCAUGCCAGAAUGCUGUAAUCUUAAGAAAGUAAUUAUUGAUAAUUUUUUUAUUACUAGAUGCAAAGGCCUUACACAGCAUCUUAUCAACAAAAGAGCCCAUAACGUUUCAUAUUCAUCAGCAUCGGCCAAUAAGAAACAAAAAGUAAAAUAAUUUUAGAAGGCACUUGUGGAUCAUGUCAGACAACAUGCAAUAGA